UACGUAGGGUGCGAGCGUUAAUCGGAAUUACUGGGCGUAAAGCGUGCGCAGGCGGCUUUGCAAGACAGGCGUGAAAUCCCCGGGCUUAACCUGGGAAUGGCGCUUGUGACUGCAAAGCUGGAGUGCGGCAGAGGGGGAUGGAAUUCCGCGUGUAGCAGUGAAAUGCGUAGAUAUGCGGAGGAACACCGAUGGCGAAGGCAAUCCCCUGGGCCUGCACUGACGCUCAUGCACGAAAGCGUGGGGAGCAAACAGG
rnacentral:rRNA from 1 species